GCAUUGGUGGUUAGGUGACCCGUAGAAUUCUAGCUUGCCAUGUUGGAGACCUGGGGUUGAUCCCCAGCCAAUGCA